AUGAACGUUGGCGGCAUGGAUUAGGCAUGCAAGUCGAGCGAGAUAUUUUAGUUUGAAGCUUCGGUUGAUUACUAAAAUGGACAGCGGCGCAAGGGAGAGUAACGCGUAGUUAUCUGCCCCGGGGUCCGGAAUAGCUGCGGGAAACUGAGGGUAAUGCUGGAUAAUAUCUCCGGAUCAAAGGUGUGAUUCCGCCCGGGGAUGGUUCCGCGUCCUAUUAGCUUGUUGGUGAGGUAACGGCUCACCAAGGCUGCGAUGGGUAGCGGGCGUGAGAGCGUGGCCCGUCACACUGGGACUGAGACACUGCCCAGACACCUACGGGUGGCUGCAGUCGAGAAUCUUCGGCAAUGGGCGAAAGCCUGACCGAGCGACGCCGCGUGCGGGAUGAAGGCCCUCGGGUUGUAAACCGCUGUCGGAGGGGAGGAAAUGCAGGGGGGUUAUCCCCCUUGUUUGACCUAUCCUCGGAGGAAGUCCGGGCUAAGUUCGUGCCAGCAGCCGCGGUAAGACGAACCGGACAAACGUUAUUCGGAAUUAUUGGGCUUAAAGGGUGAGUAGGCGGUGCGGUAAGUUGGGUGUGAAACCCUCGGCUCAACCGAGGAAUUGCGCCCGAUACUGCUGUGCUAGAGGGAGACAGAGGCGAGCGGAACUGAUGGUGGAGCGGUGAAAUGCGUUGAUAUCAUCAGGAACACCAGUGGCGAAAGCGGCUUACUGGGUCUCUUCUGACGCUGAGGCACGAAAGCUAGGGCAGCGAACAGGAUUAGAUACCCUGGUAGUCCUAGCUGUAAACGAUGAGCACUUGACUGAGGACCCCCCCAUAGGUUCUCGGUCGAAGCGAAAGUGUUAAGUGCUCCGCCUGGGGAGUAUGGUCGCAAGGCUGAAACUCAAAGGAAUUGACGGGGGCUCACACAAGCGGUGGAGGAUGUGGCUUAAUUCGAGACUACGCGAAGAACCUUAUCCUGGUCUUGACAUGUUUAGGUUAGCUCUGUGAAAGCAGAGUGACGCCUUCGGGUGGAACUUUUACAGGUGCUGCAUGGCUGUCUUCAGCUCGUGUCGUGAGAUGUCGGGUUAAGUCCCUUAACGAGCGAAACCCUUAUCCUUAGUUGCCAGCGAGUAAUGUCGGGGACUCUAGGGAGACUGCCGGUGUGAAACCGGAGGAAGGUGGGGAUGACGUCAAGUCCUCAUGGCCUUUAUGACCAGGGCUGCACACGUCCUACAAUGGUGCAUACAAAGGGAAGCGAACUCGCGAGGGUAAGCAAACCCCAAAAAGUGUACCUCAGUUCGGAUUGCAGGCUGCAACUCGCCUGCAUGAAGUCGGAAUCGCUAGUAAUCGUGGGUCAGCAUACCACGGUGAAUAUGUUCCUGAGCCUUGUACACACCGCCCGUCAAGCCACGAAAGUGGGGGGGGGCUUAAAGUCGCCGAGCUAACCUUCGGGAUGCAGGCGCCUAGAGUCAACUCCGCGAUUGGGACUA
rnacentral:rRNA from 1 species